rnacentral:rRNA from 1 species
AUUGAACGCUGGCGGCAUGCCUUACACAUGCAAGUCGAACGGCAGCACGGGAGCAAUCCUGGUGGCGAGUGGCGAACGGGUGAGUAAUAUAUCGGAACGUGCCCAGUCGUGGGGAUAACGUAGCGAAAGCUACGCUAAUACCGCAUACGAUCUAUGGAUGAAAGCGGGGGAUCGCAAGACCUCGCGCGAUUGGAGCGGCCGAUAUCAGAUUAGGUAGUUGGUGAGGUAAAGGCUCACCAAGCCGACGAUCUGUAGCUGGUCUGAGAGGACGACCAGCCACACUGGGACUGAGACACGGCCCAGACUCCUACGGGAGGCAGCAGUGGGGAAUUUUGGACAAUGGGCGCAAGCCUGAUCCAGCAAUGCCGCGUGCAGGAUGAAGGCCUGGUGUAACGUAG